rnacentral:rRNA from 1 species
CUGCCUAGAGGGUGGGGACAACCACGGGAAACUGUGGCUAAUACCCAAUGAGCGGAGACGUUAAAGAUUUAUCGCCUCUAGAGGAGCUCGCGUCUGAUUAGCUAGUUGGUGGGGUAAAAGCCUACCAAGGCGACGAUCAGUAGCUGGUCUGAGAGGACAACCAGCCACACUGGGACUGAGACACGGCCCAGACUCCUACGGGAGGCAGCAGUGGGGAAUUUUCCGCAAUGGGCGAAAGCCUGACGGAGCAAUACCGCGUGAGGGAGGAAGGCUCUUGGGUCGUAAACCUCUUUUCUCAGGGAAGAAGAAAGUGACGGUACCUGAGGAAUCAGCCUCGGCUAACUCCGUGCCAGCAGCCGCGGUAAUACGGAGGAGGCAAGCGUUAUCCGGAAUUAUUGGGCGUAAAGCGUCCGUAGGUGGCUCUUCAAGUCUGCUGUCAAAGAGUGGGGCUUAACUCCAGAAAGGCAGUGGAAACUGAAAGGCUAGAGAUCCGUAGGGGUAGAGGGAAUUCCCGGUGUAGCGGUGAAAUGCGUAGAGAUCGGGAAGAACAUCGGUGGCGAAAGCGCUCUACUGGACGGUAUCUGACACUGAGGGACGAAAGCUAGGGGAGCGAAUGGGAUUAGAUAC